rnacentral:rRNA from 1 species
AGCGAACGCUGGCGGCAGGCCUAACACAUGCAAGUCGAACGAACUCUUCGGAGUUAGUGGCGGACGGGUGAGUAACACGUGGGAACGUGCCUUUAGGUUCGGAAUAACUCAGGGAAACUUGUGCUAAUACCGAACGUGCCCUUCGGGGGAAAGAUUUAUCGCCUUUAGAGCGGCCCGCGUCUGAUUAGCUAGUUGGUGAGGUAAAGGCUCACCAAGGCGACGAUCAGUAGCUGGUCUGAGAGGAUGAUCAGCCACAUUGGGACUGAGACACGGCCCAAACUCCUACGGGAGGCAGCAGUGGGGAAUCUUGCGCAAUGGGCGAAAGCCUGACGCAGCCAUGCCGCGUGAAUGAUGAAGGUCUUAGGAUUGUAAGAUUCUUUCACCGGGGACGAUAAUGACGGUACCCGGAGAAGAAGCCCCGGCUAACUUCGUGCCAGCAGCCGCGGUAA